GCCAGUGUGGCUCAAUGGUAGAGCGUCGCUCUCCUACGUACGCGUCGGUAGGCGAAGGUUGCGGGUUCGAUCCCCGCCAUUGGUU